rnacentral:rRNA from 1 species
UAAUCUUCCCUUGGAUAGGGGAUAACCUCCCAAAGGGGGGCUAAUACCGCAUAAGCCCACACGACCGUAAGGUCGAGAGGGAAAAGCCGGCCUCUUCAUGAAAGCUGGCGUCUGAGGAUGAGUCCGCGGCCCAUCAGCUAGUUGGUAGGGUAAUGGCCUACCAAGGCAUAGACGGGUAACUGGUCUGAGAGGAUGAUCAGUCACACUGGAACUGAGACACGGUCCAG